rnacentral:rRNA from 2 species
GAGUUUAAUGCUCGUACUGCGUCUAGAGAUUAGAGGUUCCCUUCGGGGACAGAAUGACAGGUGGUGCAUGGUUGUCGUCAGCUCGUGUCGUGAGAUGUUGGGUUAAGUCCCGCAACGAGCGCAACCCUUAUUACUAGUUGCCAGCAUUAAGUUGGGCACUCUAGUGAGACUGCCGGUGACAAACCGGAGGAAGGUGGGGACGACGUCAAAUCAUCAUGCCCCUUAUGACCUGGGCUACACACGUGCUACAAUGGAUGGUACAACGAGUCGCGAGACCGCGAGGUUAAGCUAAUCUCUUAAAACCAUUCUCAGUUCGGACUGUAGGCUGCAACUCGCCUACACGAAGUCGGAAUCGCUAGUAAUCGCGGAUCAGCAUGCCGCGGUGAAUACGUUCCCGGGUCUUGUACACACCGA